rnacentral:rRNA from 1 species
UUUUUUUUGAUUUGAUAAAAAGUAAGACCUGCCCACUGAAUUAAUUUGAAGGGCCGCAGUAUUAUGACUGUGCUAAGGUAGCGUAAUCAUUAGUCUCUUAAUUAGAGAAUUGUAUGAAUGGUUUAACUUACAAUGAUUUUAUUAAUAAUUUGACUUGAAUUUUAAUUUAAAAGGAAAGUGUUUUAGUAGGUUAAAAAGACGAUAAGACCCUUUAGAGCUUAAUGUCAAAAAUUUAUUUUGUUUUUAGCUUACAGAUUAAAAUAAAUUUUUGACAUUUUGUUGGGGCAACAAAAGAAUAAAAAAAACUUCUUAAAAGUAAAUAACUUAAAUUUUAAAAUUUAAAAAGUUACCUAAGGGAUAACAGCGUAAUAUUUAUUGAGAGUUCUUAUCGACGUAAUUGUUUGUGACCUCGAUGUUGAAUUAAAAUUUCUCAGUGGGGCAGCCCCUAAAUGAGGAUGGUCUGUUCGACUAUUAAUAUUUU